AUAGCCCGCCUGUCCCUAAAAACUUGUACAUAAUUGUAGUUCAUUUUCAGCCACCAGUCUGCGCUGCUGACGGUAAGUUGCCUCUGUGAAGUUAGCUGUUUAUGUCAUGUGCUUAUGAGUACAAGUAAAUGAAAAACAUUAAAAAAUGGUGAAACAUUGUAUUGUGCGUGGAUGUAAAAGAGAUUUAGCAUCUGAUCGCUAAAAUAGAAUGAAUUACUGAAAAACAAUUUGCGUCAAUCAUCUUUAUUCAAAGUACCAAACUACCAAAGAAUAACGUAUUGAGGGAAAAUGGGUAAAAGCUUUAUCACAACAAUUGACUCCAAAUCAGUUUGUGUGUGAGAAGCACUUUCGCGAAGAAGAUAUUAAGAAAAUUGAUCGAUUGAUUA